GCAAAGACCUACUUAAGCCAGCCUCUAGCUUUGCUCUGCCCCCAUCCCAUCUCAUCCUUCGUCAAAGGGGCGUGGCAUUUAAACAAAUGCACUCAGCUGGGAGGGUAUCCCAACCCUGAGGCCCGCGUCACCAGCGCGGGCGGGCGGCUGCGGAGUCUCCCAGAAAAGCUGGUAUCUCCCAGAGUGGUCUGGUUCGGGCUCCCCAGCCCCGGAGGGGCGGCUAAGAAGAAGGCGCUCACUGGUUGCUAUAGCGGCGAUCUAAGAGGCUGGGGAAAGUUGAUUGGCCGCAGGUUCGUAGCGCGGACCACGCCCACCCCUUCCGGCGGCUGCAAUCAGGUCACUGCAUAAAUGAAAAAUAUUAAUUAGGACAUUUAUAUUUUUAAGUGUCUGUAAUCCUCAUGUUGGAUCAUCAAAAAAGUGAGACAGUUCCAGAAAAAUAUCUACUUCUGCUUUAUUGACUAUGCCAAAGACUGACUGUGUGGAUCACAAGAAACUGUGUAAAAUUCUUAAAGAAAUGGAAAUACCAGACCACCUGAC
rnacentral:lncRNA from 1 species